UACGUAGGGUGCGAGCGUUGUCCGGAAUUAUUGGGCGUAAAGAGCUCGUAGGCGGUCUGUCGCGUCGGUCGUGAAAACCUGCAGCUUAACUGUGGGCGUGCGGUCGAUACGGGCAUGACUGGAGUUCGGCAGGGGAGACUGGAAUUCCAGGUGUAGCGGUGAAAUGCGUAGAUAUCUGGAGGAACACCGGUGGCGAAGGCGGCAUCCUAGACCGGCAUUGACGCUGAGGCGCGAAAGCCAGGGGAGCAAACGGG
rnacentral:rRNA from 1 species